rnacentral:lncRNA from 1 species
GAAGAGGAUGAGAAAGGCCACCUUUAGGCAAAAGAGCCCCAUGGACUCUGAGGAGGGCAAAGCCCAGAAUACAUACAAGAAGGGUUGCUUCAGAGAAGGGUUCCUUGCAUAGUCAAUGAUGAGACUGCCAAAACAGUCCCAGUCGCUGCACCAGAGCCGCCACCCCAACUAUCACAGCCCCAGCUCCAAUGAACUUGGCAGCUGUGUUGAUGUCCCUGAAAUGGUGCUGGUUUGGGAGCUGCAGCUAGGGAUUAGUGAGGUCAGAGGCCGCCAGACCUCCAAGCUCCUGAGUCUUUCAUCUGUUGUCAUCUGUGGUCAAGUUAGUCCACUGCAGACAGCAACAACUCAGCAGCUGAGAGGUGCUCCCGAUCUGGGGGCGGGCAGAGAGGAAUUUGGAGCAGGCAUACAU